UGGGGAAUAUUGCACAAUGGGCGCAAGCCUGAUGCAGCCAUGCCGCGUGUGUGAAGAAGGCCUUCGGGUUGUAAAGCACUUUCAGCGAGGAGGAAGGUGGUGAGCUUAAUACGCUCAUCAAUUGACGUUACUCGCAGAAGAAGCACCGGCUAACUCCGUGCCAGCAGCCGCGGUAAUACGGAGGGUGCAAGCGUUAAUCGGAAUUACUGGGCGUAAAGCGCACGCAGGCGGUUUGUUAAGUCAGAUGUGAAAUCCCCGGGCUCAACCUGGGAACUGCAUUUGAAACUGGCAAGCUAGAGUCUCGUAGAGGGGGGUAGAAUUCCAGGUGUAGCGGUGAAAUGCGUAGAGAUCUGGAGGAAUACCGGUGGCGAAGGCCGGCCCCCUGGACGAAGACUGACGCUCAGGUGCGAAAGCGUGGGGCAGCAAACAGGAUUAGAUACCCUGGUAGUCACGCUGUAAACGAUGUCGAUUUUGGAGGUUGUGCCCUUGAGGCGUGGCUUCCGGAGCUAACGCGUUAAAUCGACCGCC
rnacentral:rRNA from 1 species